CAUGCAAGUCGUACGGGUUUUAAUGGGGUAGCAAUACUCUGUUGAAAUUAGUGGCAAACGGGUGAGUAACACGUAGGUUAUCUGCCCUUAAGAGAGGAAUAACUUCGAGAAAUUGGAGCUAAUACUUCGUAUAAUGCUGGUUGUAAAACCAGUAUGAAAGGUCCGAUGCAAAUCUGAUCGCUUAAGGAUGAGCCUGCGGCCUAUCAGCUAGUUGGUGAGGUAAUAGCUUACCAAGGCUAUGACGGGUAUCUCGACUGAAAGGUUUUUGAGACACACUGGCACUGAGACACGGGCCAGACUCCUACGGGAGGCAGCAGUGGGGAAUAUUGGACAAUGGGCGAAAGCCUGAUCCAGCGACGCCGCGUGAAGGAUGAAGGCCUUCGGGUUGUAAACUCCUGUCAGAGGAGAAGAAAUCCCGAGUAAUCGGGUUGGACG
rnacentral:rRNA from 1 species